rnacentral:ncRNA from 1 species
CAAUCGAAAUGGCACACCUAUUGAAAGAUAGGGUCGCAAAGCUACGGGCCUAAAGCGCAAGCUAAGGUCGCCGGGUUACCGAA